rnacentral:rRNA from 1 species
GACAGAGGUCCCGAGCGUUAGACGGAAUCACUGGGCUUAAAGCGUGUGUAGGCGGAUGGGUAAGUACCUUGUGAAAUCCCACGGCUCAACCGUGGAACCGCGGGGCAUACUGGCGACCUUGAGAGACCCAGGGGCGAGCGGAACAAGUGGUGGAGCGGUGAAAUGCGUAGAUAUCUGGAGGAACACCGGUGGCGAAGGCGGCGUUCUGGACUGCAACUGACACUGAGGAACGAAAGCCAGGGGAGCAAACGGG